UACAGAGGUCUCGAGCGUUAGGCGAAAUCACUGGGCUUAAAGCGUGUGUAGGCGGAUCGUUAAGUACCUUGUGAAAUCCCACGGCUUAACCGUGGAACUGCUUGGUAUACUGGCGGUCUUGAGCCAGCUAGGGGCUACCGGAACAAAUGGUGGAGCGGUGAAAUGCGUAGAGAUCGGGAGGAACACCAGAGGCGAAGGCGGCGACCUGGACAGGCACUGACACUCAACUACGAAAGCGUGGGGAGCAAACAGG
rnacentral:rRNA from 1 species